rnacentral:rRNA from 1 species
UACAGAGGUCCCGAGCGUUGUUCGGAUUCAUUGGGCGUAAAGGGUGCGUAGGUGGCGCCGUAAGUGGGGUGUGAAAUCCCGGGGCUUAACCCCGGGACUGCAUUCCAUACUGCGGUGCUUGAGGACUGGAGAGGAGACUGGAAUUUACGGUGUAGCAGUGAAAUGCGUAGAGAUCGUAAGGAAGACCGAGUGGCGAAGGCGGGUCUCUGGACAGUUCCUGACACUGAGGCACGAAGGCCAGGGGAGCAAACGGG